UACGUAGGGUGCAAGCGUUAAUCGGAAUUACUGGGCGUAAAGCGUGCGCAGGCGGCUCCUUAAGUCAGAUGUGAAAGCCCCGGGCUUGACCUGGGAACUGCGUUUGAAACUGGGGAGCUAGAGUGUAGAAGAGGGGGGUGGAAUUCCAGGUGUAGCAGUGAAAUGCGUAGAUAUCUGGAGGAACACCGAUGGCGAAGGCAGCCCCCUGGGCUAACACUGACGCUGAGGGGCGAAAGCGUGGGGAGCGAACGGG
rnacentral:rRNA from 1 species